CCUACGAGAGGCAGCAGUGGGGAAUAUUGCACAAUGGGCGCAAGCCUGAUGCAGCGACGCCGCGUGGGGGAUGACGGCCUUCGGGUUGUAAACCUCUUUCAGCAGGGACGAAGGGUGACUGACGGUACCUGUAGAAGAAGCACCGGCCAACUACGUGCCAGCAGCCGCGGUAAUACGUAGGGUGCGAGCGUUGUCCGGAAUUACUGGGCGUAAAGAGCUCGUAGGUGGUUUGUCGCGUUGUCCGUGAAAACUCACAGCUUAACUGUGGGCGUGCGGGCGAUACGGGCAGACUGGAGUACUGCAGGGGAGACUGGAAUUCCUGGUGUAGCGGUGGAAUGCGCAGAUAUCAGGAGGAACACCGGUGGCGAAGGCGGGUCUCUGGGCAGUAACUGACGCUGAGGAGCGAAAGCGUGGGGAGCGAACAGGAUUAGAUACCCUGGUAGUCCACGCCGUAAACGGUGGGUACUAGGUGUGGGUUUCCUUCCUUGGGAUCCGUGCCGUAGCUAACGCAUUAAGUACCCCGCCUGGGGAGUACGGCCGCAAGGCUAAAACUCAAAUGAAUUGACGG
rnacentral:rRNA from 1 species